rnacentral:piRNA from 1 species
UGGAAGAGCAGUGCAGUGAGGGUCUAGUAU